AGAGUUUGAUCCUGGCUCAGAUUGAACGCUGGCGGCAUGCUUUACACAUGCAAGUCGAACGGCAGCAUAGAGAGCUUGCUCUCUGAUGGCGAGUGGCGAACGGGUGAGUAAUACAUCGGAACGUGUCCGUUUGUGGGGGACAACCACCCGAAAGGGUGGCUAAUACCGCAUAAGACCUGAGGGUGAAAGCCGGGGACCGCAAGGCCUGGCGCGAACGGAGCGGCCGAUGACUGAUUAGCUGGUUGGCGGGGUAAAGGCCCACCAAGGCGACGAUCAGUAGCUGGUCUGAGAGGACGACCAGCCACACUGGAACUGAGACACGGUCCAGACUCCUACGGGAGGCAGCAGUGGGGAAUUUUGGACAAUGGGGGCAACCCUGAUCCAGCCAUGCCGCGUGCGGGAAGAAGGCCUUCGGGUUGUAAACCGCUUUUGUCAGGGACGAAAAGGUGCGGGUUAAGAGCUAGCACUGAUGACGGUACCUGAAGAAUAAGCACCGGCUAACUACGUGCCAGCAGCCGCGGUAAUACGUAGGGUGCGAGCGUUAAUCGGAAUUACUGGGCGUAAAGCGUGCGCAGGCGGUUGGGUAAGACAGAUGUGAAAUCCCCGGGCUUAACCUGGGAACUGCAUUUGUGACUGUCCGACUGGAGUAUGUCAGAGGGGGGUGGAAUUCCAAGUGUAGCAGUGAAAUGCGUAGAUAUUUGGAAGAACACCGAUGGCGAAGGCAGCCCCCUGGGGCAAAACUGACGCUCAUGCACGAAAGCGUGGGGAGCAAACAGGAUUAGAUACCCUGGUAGUCCACGCCCUAAACGAUGUCUACU
rnacentral:rRNA from 1 species